rnacentral:rRNA from 1 species
AUACGGAGGAUGCGAGCGUUAUCCGGAUUUAUUGGGUUUAAAGGGUGCGUAGGCGGACGAUUAAGUCAGCGGUUAAAUCGUGGGGCUCAACCCCAUUCUGCCGUUGAUACUGGGUGGCUUGAUUGCGGUCGAGGUUGGCGGAAUUCGUUGUGUAGCGGUGAAAUGCAUAGAUAUGACGAAGAACACCGAUUGCGUAGGCAGCUGACCAGACCGCAAAUGACGCUCAUGCACGAAAGUGCGGGGAUCGAACAGGAUUAGAUACCCUGGUAGUCCGCACAGUAAACGAUGAAUACUUGUUUUCGGCGAUAUAAUGUCGGAGGCAAAGCGAAAGCGAUAAGUAUUCCACCUGGGGAGUACGCCGGCAACGGUGAAACUCAAAUGAAUUGACGGGG